UACGUAGGUGGCAAGCGUUGUCCGGAUUUACUGGGCGUAAAGAGCGCGCAGGCGGUCGAUCAAGUCGAGUGUGAAAGCCCCCGGCUCAACUGGGGAGGGUCAUUCGAUACUGAUCGACUCGAAGGCAGGAGAGGGUAGUGGAAUUCCCGGUGUAGUGGUGAAAUGCGCAGAUAUCAGGAGGAACACCGGUGGCGAAGGCGGGUCUCUGGGCCGAUACUGACGCUGAGGAGCGAAAGCGUGGGGAGCGAACAGG
rnacentral:rRNA from 1 species